rnacentral:rRNA from 1 species
CCUACGGGAGGCAGCAGUGGGGAAUAUUGGUCAAUGGACGAGAGUCUGAACCAGCCAAGUAGCGUGAAGGAUGACUGCUCUAUGGGCUGUAAACUUCUUUUAUAUGGGAGUAAAAUGUUCCAAGUGUGGGUUUUUGUCUGUACCAUAUGAAUAAGGAUCGGCUAACUCCGUUCCAGCAGCGGCGGUACUAUGGAGGAUCCGAGCGUUAUCCGGAUUUAUUGGGUUUAAAGGAAGCGUAGGUGGAUUGUUAAGUCAGUUGUGAAAGUUUGCGGCUCAACCGUAAAAUUGCAGUUGAAACUGGCAGUCUUGAGUACAGUAGAGGUGGGCGGAAUUCGAUGUGUAGCGGUGAAAUGCGUAGAUAUCUCGAAGAACUCCAAUUGCGAAGGCAGCUCACUGGACUGCAACUGACACUGAGGCUCGAAAGUGUGGGUAGCAAACAGGAUUAGAUACCCGGGUAGUC